rnacentral:lncRNA from 1 species
CUGGCAGCAGCUGAAUUACCUCCCUGCUACUGUGGAGCUGGGGCUGGGUUGGCCUGAACAUUUGCAGUAACAGCUUGGGCCAGCGCUUAAAAGGCUGCCCAAAAUUCAGCAUGAGACAUAUUUUCAUUCAAUGGGUCAGCAGGUUAAGGUUGCUGACCAUCAUUAUUUCUUCACGCUCGACGUGGAGGCAUAUUUCUGAAAGAGAAGAGCACGAAUCAAUAGCAGAGAGAGACACUUUAAGCACGAUAGACCUCUGAAAGAAAGAAUCACACUUUUUCCUAAAACUUCUUGUAGCCUAUUGCUCAUAGAUAUGGCGCGCUACACACCGAUGAACAAGACUCUACUUAACGCGGUUUGUCAGACCCACUAGGACACCUUAAAACCUUAGGCUCUGAUACCAAGUUUGUAACACCCCAAAAAUGGGUCUCGGAGCAUCACACGGUGCUUGAGGCUAUGAGUAGUCCCAAGCUAACCCUUGGACCCAUUUUUAUUUAGUUCAACACGAAUCAAUGGGGUUUUCAUAAAUAACCCUCAAAUAUCAACACAGUAAUCAUCAUCCAAGAAUAAAAGAAUUUCAGAAAGAUAAUAAAAUACGACUUAUUAGUCAACUCCCAACAUCUAUACUAGUUUGACAAGCCUCUAAGAAAAUUAAUAAAACCAGAGAGCCAUUAAGACAUGCCCCAACUAACUCAUACUCAGUUAUCAAAUGUAAACAAUUCUGUGGAACCAACAUCAGACAUCACGUCCUCAGAAUAUGAGGACUCACCACGAUAGAGGAUGUAGAACAGCGUGCCCAAAGAAUCACUGUCGAACCUAGAACUAAGCACCUAAACCUACAAAUCGAGGAAAUCCAGCCCACAUCUGAAGAUGUGGGUCAGUACCAUGGAAAGGAAUCGAGUAUAUGGGGGUGUAUGCAGUUUUAUAAACAUAAUCAUCAUAAAUAUUUAUAAAAAAUAAGCAGGAUGUAUGAAAGACUCACAUAGCCCGAAGAAAAUCAUCAUAAUCAUGAGAGGAUGAAAUAAGUACAAUAACACAUGUGAGUCAUCAUAUAAUUUGUCAAUCACUUUCAGUUCAUCAAGAAUAUCAAUUCUCAUAAUGUAAAUAUCAUUUAAAUCUUUCGAAAGAAUAACUUUCACAAUUCCACUUUCAAAUCACUUCACCAUUCACCAUAGACACAAGGAAACACACACACACUGAGAGAUCCUCUACAUGGAGUCCAACGUACAACCCACGUUAGGGAGAGCCGUCCUAUCCUUGCCAUCGGAGUAGGACUAUCAAUAUCAAAUCCACACAAACUAGUGAUCACUAUAUAAAUCAGCCUCAAGCUCACUCCUACGAGGGCAUGUAGUUCUAGGGAAGUAAGGUCGCUUUAUACCUCCCACUCGGUGCUAAAGAUUUCUCCCGAACUUAGCUCAGAUCAUUUCAAAGACAAUCAACAACAAAACAAUUUUAGUAAUAUAUAAAUAUACAUCGGGAGCCAUCAUACUUCCCAUCUAUCAAAAUCAACCACAUUGUAGAUUUCUAUCACACUCGAGUUCAAAACAACUCUAUUAAGAAUAAAAGGUCAAAUCAUUCAAAAUAUCUCAAAUAUUCAACAUCAAGGUGCUUAUAACAUAUACUUUCUCAAAAAGCACAAUUUCCAAUGGGGAUUCAUGACCCAAAUAUCAAAAUCAUGAUAAAUAAUGUUCAAGAUCCAUGUGUUAUAUCUCCACACAUGUAAAUUCAUCUUUCAAAAUCAUAAACAUCAAGAUUUCAUAAUAAUCAUCAUAAUAUAUGGGUUCGUGCUUCAAAUUCAUAAAAGUCAAAUAAAAAUCAUGCUUUUGUAAAAAAAAUUACUUUUGGGCACAAAAACGAAAGAGAGUUCUUGUUGAAAAACUCCACAUACCUUGAACGAUGAACUUUAGAUCGAUACUCAUUUUUGAGAUAUUAAUCGUGCCUUUGAAUGAUGGUUCUUGGAGUUCUUGAACUAGGAACUUAGAAUCUUGAAUAAAUUUGCAGAAUUAGUGGUAAACUUUGGAGGUUCUUGAAGUUGGAUGUAAGAGCUUAGAGUUUUCUUUUUGAGGGUAAUUUGAUGAAAUAUAACAUAUAAUGCUUCUAAUAGGCUUUAAUAUAGGGUUUGGACAGAUUUUGGGUGAGGGGGAAUGACCAAAACGCCCCUAAAAAUUAAAUAAUUCUCGAAUCUGUCCUUUAGUGGACUAUUUUGAUAGUCUGAAGUAGAUCAAUCAUAAUGUUUUACUUCAAUAUACAAAUUGGAUAAAACUAAUUUCAUUAGAAAGAGGACUCUCAUAUCUUUCCAUUGAUAUAUAGUAUCUCACCCAUAUCAUUAUGUACGAGGAGUUAUGAUCGUUUGAAGUUGACCAAAAAAUUUGCUUUUGAUAGACUGAAGUAGAUCGACCAUAACUUUUUACUCCGAUGGACAAAUUAGAUGAAACCAAUUUCAUUGGAAAGAGGACUCACAGAUAUUUCCGUUCAUAUAUAGUAGAUCACCCAGAUCAUUAUGUACAAGGAGUUAUGAUCAUUUAAAGUUGGAGCAAAAGUAUGCCAAGUCUCAGUACUUUUUCCUGCACAUUUUACUGUUCACUACUAUUCACGGUUCGAUCGGAAUAUUCAUAACUCGUCCUGCACAUUUUACUGUUCACUACUAUUCAUGGUUCGAUCGGAAUAUUCAUAACUCGUCGCUCGGGUGUCCAUUUUGGAUGAUCCAGAUAUCAUUGGAAAGCUUAUUCAAUACUCUACGCAAUGGUGGGUCAUAUCUAAGACAUUCCGCAUGAAAAAUUUAUAAUUCAUUCUAGAAGAUAGAACCCAACACGUUUACACACAAAAUUUCAAAAAAAAAAAUUCUCGGGGUAUUACAAUGAGUCAGCUAGUCGACUCACAUUCUACCUAUAUUGAGAAACUAGAACAACAAAUGAACUAGUUAUCUACAGUAUUCAACUAGAGAAAAAGCUGAACAUUAUCGAGUGAUACAAUGCAAAAUCCUUGAAAUGAUGGCUCUUGCAUGGCGAUUACCACUUGAAGUGGUAAAGUAUUAUCGGGCCCUUUUGUUGGAAAAUCUUUGAUUGAUGAUGGGAUGGAGUUAGAUGCAGAAGUAGAAGAAAACCAUCCAGUAGAGACUAAGAAGCUGGAUAAUGAUAAGAUUUUAUCUAAACAUCAGCAGGUUGAUGAGUUAGAUAAAGAUAAGGUAAAGGAUGGAUGACACAAAAUUUAGCAAGUUCCUGGCAAUGCUAAAAUAGUUGAUGGUGAAUGUGUCUUUAGUGGAGGCAUUGGAACAAAUGUCUGGCUAUGCUAAGUUCAUGAAGGAUCUUGUGACAAAGAAAAGAAUAGUAAGGUACGAACCAGCGGACAAACUUCACCAUUGUAGAGCUAUUUCUACAAGAUCCUUGGUGCAGAAGAAAAUGGACCCAGGAGCUUUCACUAUCCCUUGUACUAUUGGAUUACUUAAUUUUUCUAAGGCCUUGUGUGACCUUUGGGAAAGUAUUAAUCUGAUGCCACUGGCAGUUUACAAGAAGUUGGGUUUGGGAGAUACUACACCCACCAAUAUGCAACUUGUAAUGCCAAACAGAUUAGUGAAGCGGCUAGUCGAAAUAUUAUAUAAUGUGCUUUCAAAAGUGGCUAGUUUUAUUUUCCCUAUUGAUUUUUUCAUCUUGGAUUGUGAGGUGGACAUUGAGGUACCCAUAAUCUUGGGUAGACCUUUCCUUGCAAUCGGGAGUGAGUUGAUUGACUUGCAAACUAAUAAGCUGAAGUUUAGGCUCAAUGAGAAGGUGGUCAUUUUUUAUGUUUGAAAGUCAAUAAAGUAGCAAAAGGAGAUAAGUGUAUUCUUGAUCAUUGAUAUAUAUUAUGAGAUAAACAUGAGGUACCGAUUGAGGAUAAAUAUGGCAUGGAAACAUUGGUUGCUAUGUUGAUAAAAUUUGCUAGUGAGGGUAUCGAAGAAUAUGAAAAGAUGGUGUGUGCAUUAACUGGGAUAGGAUCAUAUUCAUAUGCUCCCAAGAAGCUAGACUUGGACCUUAAAAUUUGCCUAACACCACCGGCUAAGCCAUCUAUUAAAGAGCCACCGACGUUGGAACUUAAUGAGUUGCCAGGCCAUCUGCGCUAUGCAUUCUUAGUAGUGAUAACACUUUGCCGGACAUUAUUGCAGCAGAUUUGGUAAAGCUGCAGGUUAAGGCCCUUAUUUUUGUUCGUAGGAGGUACAAAAAGCUAUCGGAUGGAUGAUUGCAGAUAUUAUUAGUAUCCCUCCAAGCAUAUGUACCCAUAAGAUCUAGCUAGAAGAUGAUUGCAGAUCGACCUUUGAGCAUCAAUGUAGACUAAACCUACCUAUGCAAGAAGUGGUGAAAAAAGAGAUUGUAAAGUAGCUUGAUCCAGGGGUAGUGUACCCGAUCUCUAACAGUAAGUGGGUAAGUCCAGUACAGUACGUGCCCAAGAAAGGAGGUGGACUGUGGGUGAUAAUAAGAAGAAUGAGAUAAUUCUGCUUAGGCCAAUAAAUAGGUGGUGAGUUUGCAUAGACUACUGAAAUUUGAAUUCAUGGAUGUUAAAAUAUCAUUUUUCAAUGCCCUUCAUGGAUCAAAUGCUUGAUCGCUUAGAAUGAAGGGGUUGGUAUUGCUUUUUGGAUAGAUAUUCGGGAUACAACCAGAAUAGGGUCCACUUGCUAAAUAAGACAUCUUGUGGUUUGGGUCCACUUGCCAUGCAAGAUAAGAUAGCUCGUGAUUAGGUUCCACUUGUUAUACAAGAUACAACGGCUUAUGGUUUGGGUCCACUUUCCAUAUAAGACAUAACGGCUUGAGGUUAGGGUCCUCUUUCUAUAAUAGAUGAGACAGCUAGAGGUUAGGUUCCUUUUGCUUAAUAUAACCUAAAGGUUCAAACGUUCUUAACUAGAAGGGUGGAAGGUUGGAGUCCUUCACUACAUCUUUCAUGAUUGAGUGUUUUCAAAAAGGCAUGCUAAGCCUUGUUUUUUCCUUUUUGGCACGUUAUGAAUCUAUAUAUGUGUACGUAUAUAAAUAUGGUUGCAUAUGAUGGUUUGACUUGGUAUUAAAUAAUGGUACUAGUUUAUCCUUAUCCUUGAGUUACAUGUUAGUGCUCCAACUGUUAACCAUCUCCGAACGUUAUGUGCCCACGUGACAUAGGGGCCAAAGCUUCUUCUUCUCUUCUUGCGUAGUGACAGGUGUUCGAGUGGUUCAUGUGUUGACAUUGAAGUGGUGAACUUCCAUAUUUCAGAAGACAUACAUUUUAUAGUCUUUCAAUCUUAUGCUAUAGAUUUGUUUUAGACUUGGCUUAUGGUUAUUAUCAGGGGCAUGUCCCGAAAUAUUAUAGACAUCGGAUUUGUAGAGGCUUUGUGUAUGAUUGUGGACUUGGGUAUAUUGGUUAGUAUAUUGAUGUAAAUGAAUUGAUUAGACAUCUCUUAAGUCAUAAUCAUUAGUCUUUUUUCCGCUACCUUAUUAUAUGUUCGGAGUUCAUCCGGCACUUGCCGUUUGAUAUGAUGGUUAGGUUGGGUUAAUGGGCAAUCUUCGAUCCUUGUUGGGCUUGAAAUGCCCAUUUGACAAGGCCCAAUUUUGGGUCGUGUCACCUACCUAGAUUAUUGCUACUUACUCCAAAAGAGGAGUAGUGACUAGGAAAAGAUAAUUACAACAGCGAUUUGAAUAUUAAUCGUCGAUCCAUGCUAAUAGGUAUUAUCUAAGUAAAAUCAUUAACUAACAUCUAAUAACUAGAGACCCAAAAGGUAAUAUUUAAUUGGGAUCAAGGAUAAGUGUUGGUAAGGUGACAUCUUGAGACUCAAAAGGUAAAGGGUGGAAUCCAUUAACUAGUCCAAAAGACAGUUGAUAGUACAUAACUUAUCAGAUUCUGCAUGCAAGAUAUCGGGUUGGUUCAAUAAAAGCACAAUAAGCCUAUUGAAUUGAGAAGUUAGGGAAAACAAAAUCCUACUGUUCAUCUACAACUUAUUACAACCAGAGUUGAUAUUUGUUAUUUGUUCGAUAUUACCACUAUAAUCCCCUAUUUACUUUUUCAGUUCUGCCCGUUGAUUACAAUAGUUAAGAGCCACAAUUCCAUGUAUUUCCUUGGGAUUCAACCCCAACCGUUGUUGGGCUACUAUAUUUGACAAAGAAUGCAUUAUCUUCAGAUUGAAGGUGUACCUUGGGCAUUAUUAGGGACAAUGCUAGAGAUGAGGAGAUAGAGGUCCAACAUUUUGUUAGAAAUGGAGAAUGGGAUAAAGAGUUGCUAUUAUCUCAACUGUCAGAAAAAAUGGUUGAUCUUAUCAUUAGAAAUAUUAAGGCUCUUAGGAAUGGUAACUCUAAUGAUCUCCCUUAGUGGAUGGGUGGUACUCAUGGCAUGUUCUUAGUUAAAACAACCUAGAAUCACAAGUAAGAGACAAGGAGAGAUUAUGAUUUCAUCUAGGCCAAAGGUUUGCCUUUUAAGGUGAAUUUUUUUUAUAUGGAGGUUGUAGAAAAGGAGAAUUGCAACUGAUGAUAACUUUAAAAGAAUGAGAAUAUAGUUGGUAUCAAGGUGUUGGUGUUGUGAGGAGAAUGUCAAGGAAAUAAUGUCUUAUCUAUUUCUAACAUCCCCUGUAGCCAUGAGGCUAUGAAGGCAGUUUGCUUAUUUUGCAAGUAUUCAAGUGGAGAACAUGCAACUUCAAUAGCUUAUAAUAGUUUGGUGGAAGUAAGCACCAACAAAAUUAAAGGUGUUAUAUAGAGCAAUACCAACUAUAAUAAUUUGGACUCUAUAGAAGAGAAGAAAUUAUAUUAAACAUGGAGGAACUGUACAGUUCACUGGAAUGGUCAUACAGAUAUAUGAUGUGGUGAAAAAGGUUAUCAAAAUACUAUAUCCCUGGAUAAAGAGUGAGCAUGGACAUGGCUAGAAGUUAUUGCCAAGAUAAAAGCCCACAAGCCCAAGUUGCACUAUCACAGUGGAAUUUGGAGGAAGCCAGAGAACCAGCAGGUGAAGUGAAACACUGAUGGAGCUUGCAGAGGAAAUCCUGGGAUAAGUUCCUGUGGUUUCUGCCUAAGGGAUAACAAAGUAGAUCUAAUAUAUGCAAGAGCAAAGGGAUUGGGAGCAGGCACUAACACAGAAGCUAAAUAAUUAGCAAUAAAAGAAGCCUUAGAGUACUGUUAUGAAAAGAACAUAAUUGACUUUAUUCUUGAAAUAGACUCCUUUGGCCUCAGAAAAAUGAUUCUACAACAGUGGAAAGUGCCUUAGGAAUUAGCAGAGCUAUUUGAUAAGGUUAGGAAGAAUGGACAGAAGAUGAAUGUUAUAGUCAUGCACAUAUUCUAGGAAGGAAACACUGUGGAAGAUUCCUUAGCCAAUGAGCUGAUUGAAUCAAAAAUGACAUAGGAAUUCCAUAAUUUUCAUGAACUUCCAACACAUACAAAAAUACUGAUUAACAUAGAUAAAGCAUAGAUCCCAAACACCAGGGUGAAAAGACAAAGAUAAUACCACAAUGAGAAACAAAAGAAGAAUCACAAAUACAAGAAAAUAGGAAAUUCAUUCAAGUUGUAAGAGCAUGGAUGUACCAAUAAUAUUUACAAAGCUACAGUUAUCCAAAAACACUAGCACGCCAUAAUUAAUGAAAGAGCAUGCCUAGAAGAAGACAUUACAACAGUGCCAAUAAAAGUUAGGACUAAAAGUUUUAGCUAUCAAAAACCUGCACCAAAAAUAGAGGUUUUUGGGGCGUUGCACUACCAUGGAUCACCAGUUGUAGAUGCAGAAGAAUCGAGACUGCCACAAUCUCAAUCCCACCUGAAAUGUGGAUAAAUAGGUCAGAAAUGGAGUAAAUGAAAAAGGAAAAGAAAAGACAAGAGAGAAAACAUAUUGGUAUCUCAUGAUCUGGUGGAAAUGGUAUUCCUUCUAUGGUUCCUUGGGGUUAAAACCCAACCACCUACGAGAUCAAAAGUUAGGUUAAUAAAUGAAAAGAAAAGAGAGAAGAAGGAAAAAGAGAGAAGCUCACUAUGAAAUAGUGAAGAGGGUAGACAGAGCUCAACAAUCACCAUUGUAGGCUCAUGCUUGAACACGACCAAAAGGAGGAAGAACUUCAGCUUGCAAGUUCCACCGGCAACACUUCGACAGCAUGGUUCAACUCACAAGGCAGCAGCAAGUAGAAAGAAAGAGUACUUUGUACUUGAAGAAUAAAGGCAGAUAUUUAUACUACUUUAGGAAACGUUUUAUUUUCCUCUUUAUUUUGGAUCGAGUUCUAUUUUG